rnacentral:rRNA from 1 species
CCUACGGGUGGCAGCAGUGGGGAAUAUUGGACAAUGGGCGAAAGCCUGAUCCAGCCAUGCCGCGUGUGUGAAGAAGGCCUUCGGGUUGUAAAGCACUUUCAGUGGGGAAGAAAGCCUUGGGGCUAAUACCCUCGAGGAAGGACAUCACCCACAGAAGAAGCACCGGCUAACUCCGUGCCAGCAGCCGCGGUAAUACGGAGGGUGCGAGCGUUAAUCGGAAUUACUGGGCGUAAAGCGCGCGUAGGCGGUCUGAUAAGCCGGUUGUGAAAGCCCCGGGCUCAACCUGGGAACGGCAUCCGGAACUGUCAGGCUAGAGUGCAGGAGAGGAAGGUAGAAUUCCCGGUGUAGCGGUGAAAUGCGUAGAGAUCGGGAGGAGUACCAGUGGCGAAGGCGGUCUUCUGGACUGACACUGACGCUGAGGUGCGAAAGCGUGGGUAGCAAACAGGAUUAGCUACCCCAGUAGUC